rnacentral:ncRNA from 1 species
CCGCGCCCGCUACCUGACCGUCACGGCGGUCAGGUCUGUGCGAAUUGAAUCUGGUCGUGCCGCUGGCCUUCUGGCCACCGCCAUGCGCAUCACGGAAACCACCAGCGGAACGGCUGGACAGGUCCGGCGCAGUUUCCCGGCUGAGCAAUCGACCGGGCGACGUAGAUAGCACGAUUGGUCG